CACGUAGCCUUAAAGCUCAAACCCAUUUCAUGGCAUUGCAUGACACCUUGGAAUUAUUUAUUCGGGCCAAGCAGAUGCAGCCUGACAAUAUACACAAUGUAGAUAAACAAAUGAAAAGCAAGGGGGAAAUUGAGAAGCAGAAGAGAACAAAAAAGGACAAAAUCACAAAGCCUUAGCUCAAACCCAUUUCAUGGACACGCAGAUGCAGCCUGACAAUACACACAAUGUAGAUAAACAAAUAAAAAGCAAGGGGGAAAUUGAGAAGCAGAACAGAACAUAAA